rnacentral:rRNA from 1 species
AUUGAACGCUGGCGGCAGGCCUAACACAUGCAAGUCGAGCGGAUGAAGGGAGCUUGCUCCUGGAUUCAGCGGCGGACGGGUGAGUAAUGCCUAGGAAUCUGCCUGGUAGUGGGGGAUAACGUCCGGAAACGGGCGCUAAUACCGCAUACGUCCUGAGGGAGAAAGUGGGGGAUCUUCGGACCUCACGCUAUCAGAUGAGCCUAGGUCGGAUUAGCUAGUUGGUGGGGGAAAGGCCUACCAAGGCGACGAUCCGUAACUGGUCUGAGAGGAUGAUCAGUCACACUGGAACUGAGACACGGUCCAGACUCCUACGGGAGGCAGCAGUGGGGAAUAUUGGACAAUGGGCGAAAGCCUGAUCCAGCCAUGCCGCGUGUGUGAAGAAGGUCUUCGGAUUGUAAAGCACUUUAAGUUGGGAGGAAGGGCAGUAAGCUAAUACCUUGCUGUUUUGACGUUACCAACAGAAUAAGCACCGGCUAACUUCGUG